AAACAAACUGUUGUACACCAUUGAUGUCAGCAGUACAAAUCUCAGUGGUGAUACCUUUGUUUGAUCGUUUAAGCUCAGCCUCAUAGUCCCAUAGCUUACCAAACUGAAUGGUUUGAGCCUAAGGACAGUGUCCAAAGCAAUUUGUAUGAAUUUGUAACAAUUUGAAAUAUUCACAACAAUGUUAUAACGCUCCUUGAUCAUGUCUAUCUCUGCAGUCUGUAAAUUAAUAUUUCUUCGAAUUUCUUCACUAAACAGCCUUGCAUCACACCUUGCUUCAACAUUGAUACUCAACUUUAUUUUCUGUGGUUAUGCUUCUUGUGACAAACUUUCACCAUCCACUUGUUCAAUGGUCGCUCAAUCGAACAAUAUAUUUUCCAAGGGCAGUCACUCUUGCAACAUAUAGCAGCUAUCCUUGUUGCUUCUGAUUUUUCCAUUUUAACAUCGUAUUGAGUAUUCAGUGAGUAACGUAUUAGCUGAUCCUUGAACUCUAAUCCACUAUUGAACUUCUUAAACAGACAUAUGUAAGGCUCUUUGUCAAAAUCUCCAUGAAAAUUGUUCUUUUCCUUUUCUACUUUUUAUUUAUUUUUCCAUUGCUCCACUCUUCAUCUGAACUUAACGGUGUAUCUGGAUACUGGACGUCUUCAAACCAAAUUCAGGAUCAGAUUCUUCUUCGUCCCUUUCUUCGUCUGCAUGUUUUUGCAACUAAGUUACGAGUUACUUCGUCCAAAGUUCUCUUUCUCAAUGUUUGGUUUUUUCUUUUGACUUUUAUUUCACGAACUUUCACGACAGUUCAACCCUACAAAUCACUUUGGGGAUUUUAAAUUAAUGUCUGUAAUUAAAAUAAAAAUAUGGUCUAUUAAAAUAUAAAUAAUUUAAUACAUGUUAUAUUAAAGCUGGC
rnacentral:lncRNA from 1 species